CCCUUAGAUGUUCUGGGCCGCACGCGCGCUACACUGAUUCAUGCAACGAGUUUUGUCCUUGGCUGAAAGGCCUGGGUAAUCUUUGAACGUGAAUCGUGCUGGGGAUAGAUGAUUGCAAUUAUUCAUCUUCAACGAGGAAUUCCUAGUAAACGCAAGUCAUCAGCUUGCAUUGAUUACGUCCCUGCCCUUUGUACACACCGCCCGUCGCACCUACCGAUUGAAUGGUCCGGUGAAAUCUUCGGAUCUGAGAGAUGUUGGAUUAAUUUCCGACGCCUUUUGGAAAAGUUGCUUAAACCUUAUCAUUUAGAGGAAGGUGAAGUCGUAACA
rnacentral:rRNA from 1 species